rnacentral:piRNA from 1 species
ACAAUGCAUUCGACAGCCAGUCUCC